rnacentral:rRNA from 1 species
UACGAAGGGGGCUAGCGUUGCUCGGAAUCACUGGGCGUAAAGGGUGCGUAGGCGGGGCUUUAAGUCAGGGGUGAAAUCCUGGAGCUCAACUCCAGAACUGCCUUUGAUACUGAAGAUCUUGAGUCCGGGAGAGGUGAGUGGAACUGCGAGUGUAGAGGUGAAAUUCGUAGAUAUUCGCAAGAACACCAGUGGCGAAGGCGGCUCACUGGCCCGGUACUGACGCUGAGGUGCGAAAGCGUGGGGAGCAAACAGG